GGAAAUUAUACCAGCAUCUUUGGAUGACAGUAAUCCCGCUUUAUCUACGACCUCAUUUUUUGUGGUUUCAGUUACCCCUGUUCAGAACCAGUUCAGAAGCAAGAUGAUCCUCCUCCUGACAUAUUGUCCAAAGACCGCAUGGAGGAGACUCGGAGCCUCCUAAUGCUGGUUUUGUCAAGAGUUGACGGCUGACAGCCCCAUUCAGCCUCAAAGGCCCACAUGUGGAUAAAGGAAAACGAAGUUCGAUGGGAAGCUUAACGCUACAAUGGAUUUUAAAAGAACAGAUCGAAUGAA